ACUCCUACGGGGAGGCAGCAGUGAGGAAUAUUGGUCAAUGGACGCAAGUCUGAACCAGCCAUGUCGCGUGCAGGAAGACUGCCCCUAUGGGUUGUAAACUGCUUUUUAUACGGGAAGAAAUAUAGCUACGUGUAGUUAUUUGCCGGUACCGUAUGAAUAAGCAUCGGCUAACUCCGUGCCAGCAGCCGCGGUAAUACGGAGGAUGCGAGCGUUAUCCGGAUUCAUUGGGUUUAAAGGGUGCGUAGGCGGAAGUAUAAGUCAGGGGUGAAAGUUUGUGGCUCAACCAUAAAAAUUGCCUUUGAUACUGUAUUUCUUGAGUACAUUUGAGGUAGGCGGAAUGUGUUGUGUAGCGGUGAAAUGCUUAGAUAUAACACAGAACACCGAUUGCGAAGGCAGCUUACUAAACUGUAACUGACGCUGAUGCACGAAAGCGUGGGGAUCGAACAGGAUUAGAUACCCUGGUAGCACAGAG
rnacentral:rRNA from 1 species